UUAUGGCUGUAAAUCUCCAUGGCUGGCCAUUUCUUCCUGCUGCCAGGCCCCUUGGCACAGUUGACACUGUCUCAAAUUCCAGACCAGAAAAAAAGGGCCCACUAUAUUGCAGUGAUUUUAUCAUUAACGAGACCUGUUUGGCUCCAAAAUGAGGAAAAAUACUUAAGCAUAAUAUUUGCGUAGUUCAAAUGCAACGCCCCCUCCUGUCAUGUGUCACCAAGGCAAAUCUGGACUCUGAUUCAGCGCUCCAGCCCACAACAGGGGACUUGAACGCAAACAGCCUGAGUCACGCAGGUCAGCACACAUGUGGGAGGCCUGUUCUCGGCUGAGUAUUUUAAGCACCGGCUUUGUGGAUGAAAGGCCAUGGGGCCAGGUCUUGGAGCAACUCCCAUCAUCCCUUUCCCUCAGAAGUAUGAAAAUGUCUUUUUUCCAGAACGCCCUGUGUUGGUCAGUCAUGGUGUGACUCAGUGCCUCUGGAUGAAGCCUGCCUUAGCUCCUCCCUCCUCUUAUCUCUGCCAUAGAUCCUUGGCUUCCUGAUGAUCAAACUGAAGAAUCUGCAGUUUUCUUGCAGAAAAACAAACAGUUCCAAUGGAACAACCAUUCAAAACAUAAUAACUCAGCCCUUUAACCUCCUACCACAACCUAAUGCCUGGCGUUAUGAGUUAGGGGAAAGAAGAAGGCAGGACAAAUGGUUGUGGAGAGCUGUCUGCCUCAGAAAUAAUGCCAGUCGGCAAAGGCUGCUGGCAGGUUUUGUGUUCAUUUCAAAACUUCACAUUCCUCGGGCACUUAGUGGCAUUUUUGAAGAACACUGUUUCAAGGACAGGGGAGUGAUGUGAGCGAGGUCAUUCUGAAUACACAGCACUUGACGUGGUAGAGUCCACAAUCAGCCUUGGAAGAAAGGCUCUUGCCAGUUGUGUCUCUCUUAGCCAGCAAGCGUGGGGACCUGUGCCACGGAGACACCCAACAGGAAUCAUCAUUUCAGGUAAGCCAGUCCUGUGGUCAGGCACAACGUGAGGUUUUUUUGUUUGUUUCUUUGUUUUUUGUUUUAAUUAGUCCCCCUCAUUACCAUAAACUAAGAAAUGAGAGCUUUAACUUGUGAGCAAUUUCUAUACCAGCUGAUACCUGCCAAAAUUGUAGUCAUUUAUAGAGAUUAACUGAUGACUGUCUGCUUUAGCAGAAGUGUUCAGGCAUAACUCCCGGAGAAAACAAUUCUUCAGUCUAAGCUGUUUUCUAAGCCCUGGGAGUCUCAGGGCUGAGUUUAAUGCUGGAGGAUUGGGGAAGAGCCCACUCUACUCUCCCCACGUGUGUUCCUGGGAGUAAGUAGGAACGUUACUGCCUUAGUAGGGGGUCUUGACCCUCAGGCUCACAGUGGUGCUGGAGAGCUGUAACACCAAGGCACAGGGGAAAUGAGAAGCAUUAUCAUAUUCAAGGUGUGGUUCGGAUGCACUUACAAGCUAGAUCAAAGGAACAUCUAAUUCUUACUUUCUGAAACCAUCAGACCUCAUGUGCCAGAUAGCAAUAUUUUGCGUGAAAUAUAGGAACUUCCGAUAUGAACUUUCCAGCUGGGGAAAAUGAAUACUUUAUGUCUUCAGUUUCCUGUAUCUGUGUUCAAUUAAAAGGCUCAUUUGCCCCCUGAAUUAGAAAUAGAGGAGUAUGGAAAAUGUCUACUAUCCAAUUCACUUUUCUUCUUUCUCACUGAGUACUGGGCUUUAGAGGGCAGCAGGGACUUCAACCCUGGGUCAAGCCCUUGGGUAGAACCGGGAUGCAGCUCUGAACACCUGCAUGCUGGCAGCUUGGCUUCUUCAGCAUGUUUGAAGUCAACUGUGAAUGUUUACAGGACGGUGCUUAAAGUAGUGGGCAUGUCAGGAUUUCACACUGGGACAUCUUAAUCUUAAGCAGAGUUGAAAAGCGUCUUAAAUUCUUCUAUUACCAUUUUCUCAUUUUUGAAAAAAAGAAAAGUACUUGGUUGGAAUUUUACUAUGUAUGCAGAGUCAUAAAAAUCCAAAAAAGGUGAAAAAGUAUAUGUAAUACAAAUAAGUCAAUGCCAUUUGCUAAAUUUUACUUCAUUCCAAAGGCAUUUCUGUUGUUUUUGGGGUUGGCUGCUCACUAGGGCAGUCUUAAAUGUUAUAUUUUGUGACGGAUAGUGAGACCAGCUUUCACUUUUCUGCUGUACAAACUAAACUGAGCAGGUAUGCAUAUCUCAUUGAUAACUGAGCUGCCUUUUUAAAGACACCAUUGUGAUCUGUGGCUGUAAGUAACAGAAAUAUAAUAUAUGAUCUUCCAUUAAAGAAACUAGAUAAGGCUAAAUUGUCACCAUUUCUUGGAAAUUUGUGGUUAGAGAGAAUAAAGAAUUUUCUGGCAGUCAACAACAUAUUAGUCUACGUUUCUGAUAGGGGUUUACUAGUUUUCCUGAUAGAUUCUCAGCAGAAAAAUGGGGAAGGUAUAUACUCAGAAGACUGUCAUGAUGCGCCAUUGAGCCAAAUCUAUGCAAAAGCAUAAUACAAAAAAGAUAUAUAUAUAUAUAUCGUAUAUACACGUAUAAAAUUGUGGUUCUUCUAAAAGCAUAUAAGAAUUUUAUAUAGUCAAUUUUGAAAGGACAUCUGUAUUUCAGGAGAUGUUGGCCAGUCAAUGGGAUACUCCCUGCAUGAAUCUGGAUAUAAAAAUAUGGGGUUUUCUUUCCUUGAUUUGUUACUGUUUUAUGACAAUGGAAAAGAAAUCAAUGUGUGUAGAGAACAGCUUACUUUUCCUGGUAUCAGAGUCUAACCUUUAGGUUGCGGGGUCAUUAGGAUUUCAAAGUGACAGUACUGAAUGUGACCCUUCCUGAAGCCCCUUGCAGGUGGUGAAAUAAAUCUCCCUAAUUGCAAAGCUAACCAUCUGCUGGCUAAUUUAAUGUUGGGAAAUAUUGUUCAAUAUUAUAUAUCACAUGUAUAUUAUAUAUACUAUAUAAUAUAAACUAUAUGAUGGCAUAUAGAAUGUCAAUAUACAUUCUAAUUCAUAUUAUAUAUGCAUGCUUAUAUAUCGUCUAGGGCUACGUAACUAUGGGCAGCCUCACUUUCCCCCGCCCCAAUUUCUUCUCAUAUCGUUAAGCUAAGACACCACCACAAGGCUGGAGUACUUCAGAACUGGAGAAGGGCCAGAGAAAUCAGCCUUGGUUUUUAACUGAUGUGUGGGAAGUGAGGUUCAGAGAGGUUAUGUCAUUUGCCCAAUCUCACAAAGUCAGUUACGGGAAGACGGCAGGUCUGAAAACACACCCAUCUCAACACCCACAGAUACACACACUCGGGAUGUACACUCAGUGCACCUAGAAAUUCAACACCCAUGGACACACACACUCGGGAUGUGCUCUCAGUGCACCUAGAAAUACACAUUUCUGUGAACUCAGAGCGAACAGAGUGGAGAAGUGCACAAUGCUACAUGGUUUUAGAUCUCAGAGACACGAAAGCCCCUGAACGUUUGCAUUCUGCCUCGACCGUCUCACUUCCGCUCCCAGUGUGUGUGUAGAAUCAGAAGACAGCCCCAGCCACACUGUGACCUGCAGGCUGUGAGGCUGUUUCACCUGCUUGAGCGGGCAAUGGAAUUACCUGGGCAUUCUAGCUUGGUAGGUUGGUCUGGGGUGAAGGGCCUGAGAAUUUGGAGUCCUAAUAAGGUCCAGGUGAUGCUGAGGCUGCCGAUACAGGGAGCACACUGGGAAUACCUGCAUGGAAGGGAGAGCUCCCCCUGGUACUCAGGCUUCCACUGUGCAUUACUACUUCCCUUCUCCUACCUGCUUCUGAUGUGCUGUGUGCUGGGGAAAAACACACGAACUAAACAUGCCUGAACUGUGUUUAGACUGUGUUCACGAGCAAUGACUGACGGCCUCCUUUUGGUGAUAACUAUUUGGCCGUCUUUUCAUUUUUUUAACUCUUCAGUACACACAGAGCAGCUGAAAAUGCCCAAACUCUGCCCUGCAGAUAGGCAGGUGUGUGACUGUCUCUGUCUCCCACAGUAACUGGGCACAUUCUGUUCCAGUCAGACUGAUUAUCAUGACAGUCUCAAAUCUGAGAACCCCAAAUUCUCCAGCAGGAAGUAACUUCUGCUGUGCCAUCUGUGGAAAGGCUUUGGGGAAUGGCGGGGAAGGGUUACAUGGAACCUUUAUUCCGUUCCACAAAUGCAGCAGCUAAGUUCUCUGAGUGCCCACAGGAGCGGGUGUCAAUGCAGAUGCCACAAUCCUCCUCCCCUCUAGAGAAACAACAUGGUCCCAGGGAAAUGUGAAUGCUCGUGUAGGCGUUAAGAAUUCUGCAUUCUAAAUCUGCUUUUCGACCAAACUUUGCUGUGGACAAGAACAAGUCUCUUCGUCACUGAGGCUCCACAUCUGGAAGCCUGGAAUUAAGAGACUAUGAGGAUUACUCCAAGGGACUCUAAAAGCAUCCACAGCAAUUACAUCUGCUGCGAUUAUCUACUCAGCUGGUUCUUGUCGGAUGGCUCUAAGCACGGUCUUUCUUGAACAACGUCGAAUGAGGUUACGACUUUCAAAGUUUUCCCUUUGUCUUUUUUCAGGCAGACACCUGGCCUCCGGAAGCCAGUGCCAAGUCUAACUGUCAGGUUGGUCUCAGAGCUCUGUCUUGAUCCCCACCAGGUCGCCCAGCCUGGGAUCCCACCUGGCCUGCUCUACCUUUCCCUGUGCUGGGGGUCAGCAGCUUUGCACGAGGUGUCCUAAGAAUUCACUCUCCCUCUGCCUCCAGCUGUUUCAUCAAUGACCCUUUGGACAGUUAGUUAUAGGUGACCUUGGGCUUUAGUAUUCAAAGGUGCUCUCCUCUCUCCCUUAAGCCUUCACAGAGCCUUUCGUGCUACCCUGCUGACUGGGAUAUUCCAUUCUGCUUUCACCCCUCCCCCUCUAGCAUCCCAAGGCUGAGUCCAGAGGGAGUGGGACAUUAAACCCACCUUAAAAUUUGCUAGGAAGUUGUCAGAGGCUGUACCUGGGAAGAAAGCCACUCUGCGGACCACUCAUCCAGGCUCUCACUUCCCAGCUUCUUGUCUGGGUUGGAAAACAAUGAUACGUUCACCCUGAAUGCCCACCUUUUCCAUCAGUGGCAGGAGGCACAUACGUCCUAGACGCCAACUGAAGUUCUAGGCUGGCCUGGCAAAGCCCUUCCCAGGGCACCCUGGCCACUCACAGCUCCUGAGUACUCACUAGUACAAAAGCCAACAGCAGCUAGUUGUCGAACGUAGGCCCUCCCUCACACAUAAGGUUUUCAGUUGUUUGUGGCCUGACAUCCUCAUUCAGGCAUCAGGCUCACUUCUAUGCACCGCUGUCCACGUGCCAGAAGCAGCCACCUGCUGAGAAGGGGCAUCUGUGAGGAGGGAGGCCUCUUCUACCAGUUACCUGAAUGGGUGAGUGACUGUUUGCCUAGACUCCCAAAGAGCCACAGCAUGGCGAUAAAGAUGCUGGUCCACUAUCUGCCAGGUAACAUUGGGAGGGAAAGUUCUAUCUAUUCCAAGACACUAGUACCUCCUAUUCACCCUGGUGACCACAUCUGAGCCAGUUAGGAAAUGAAGGAAGGGAAGUUUCCAUCCUUGCCAGGGAUGGGGGCAGGGAUGGAGGCAAGGAUGGAUGCCCAGGACAGCCUUCUGUCCGGCAACAUUCCCCGUCCUCAAUCCUUUCCUGAUUCGAAAGGGACACACCUUCCCCCUGACCUGACUAGCUUGAGUCUUUGCCUAUGGCUGCCUGACCUGGUGCCACCAGCCUCCCAGCUCCUCUGUGUUACACAGGCAACAGGAGAGCUGCCUUUUCAACGACUGUUUUGAACUUUCCUCUCCUUUUAACUCCGUCAACAGUCCCUCUUCUGUGCGAACACUCUGGUGUGUCAAAGCCAGACCUCAGCUCAGAGAGACAGCCCUCAUAAACUGCCGCAGAUCUCCCGUCUUUUCCCAGCCAGAGGGGGACCCCGCACCACUCCCUUCCCAGUCUCUUCCCCACCCCCAACUUCUUUUUUAACCACUUCUGCUUCCUUCAUUUUCUCAGCAGCUGCCGCGGAGAGAUAUAGUAAAGCUACUGUAUAGGAUUUUGAAAGCGGGGCCUCCGAGAGCUUUCCAAACUCCAUACAAGCCAGUUAUUCUCUGCCUUGUUUUCUUUGGCUUCAGGUUAGUAACACAGAAUGAGUCAAACAGUAUUAACUUUCAAUAGGGAAGUGGUGUGGUCAACCGAAGCUGUUUGCGGCUAGAUUGUGAAGAUAGGUAGGGCAGGUAAUGCAGAACAGCCCAUAAUACCGCGAGGAGGCAGAGAAGGGAGGCGGCCCCACUCAGAAACACUCCAACAAUUAAGUCAACAGAACUCACACCAUCUUUUUUUAGUUGGCUGAGGAAUUAACACCAAGGUCUCUGACCGGUCAGCUUUGGGAAGUUGGCCAUGCUGGGGCUUGGACAAUUGAGUACUUUGUGGGUUUAAGGAUGUCUUUUUUUUUCAAAUGUUGCCAAAGUCAUGGGAACUCUAGUUAGGAAGAUUUCCCCUACUUACAGCAUGUCACUCUAGCGUGGCCCUUCAUUCAUCUCUUUCCCCGGCCUGGGAUGUGAGUUGAUCCAUUCUCCCUUCUUCCCCCUUCUCCCCCUGCCCCACCCCCACCUCCUCAGUCACCAUCUUUGUCUUCCCAGCUUGGCAGGACACCGCAGUGGCCCCUGGGCUCUCUUUCCUGAGGUUAGAAGAUGGUGCUUUGAAAGAACAAUUGCUCCUACAAACAUCAAAUCGAACUUUUAGAAGCUGAUAAAGACCUUAAAAAUCAUUCAGUCUCCUUUUCUUUCUCCUUCUGUAGAUGAGGAACCUGGGGGUCUAAGAGGAGACACUGCUGAAAUUCACUGAGCUAGGCAGGGCCAGACAUAGACUCCACUGGCAGGCCCGCAGGCUUUCCACCAGACCAGGCCGCUCCCUCGCCCAGGGCUCAAGAUUCCUUUUAGAGUUCAACAGAGCAGCUCCCGAGAACAGACUGGCCCUCAAGACUCAAAUUUCAGUGGUUUCCAGUUCUUUCUCCCUGCACUCGGCUACCUAUUUAUUUUGAGACUGGCUGAAUCACCCAAAGAAUAGAACGGGUUUCUCUGAAGCUGCUCCGGGCAGCAUGUCAGCAAAUGAACAGGACAGCGAGCUGGCCUCUGGAGCCUUGGAAGAUUCUCACCUCCAAGCAGCUGCAGUUUUUGACUCGUCCUGGGAAACUGGCACUGAGACUCAGGGGUGUAAGAUUUCACCUCCCUGAAAUCAAAUCCAGAAAUCGCAGGCGCGGAGCGUAUAUAAAAAGCCACAGGGGAAAAAAGGAAUACGGACUCAGCAACUCUUAGGUGCUCUGAGCCUCUUCCCAAGCCUUCUGGUUCCGUGAGCAUUUCAUUGAAAGAAAAUGGAAUAACAGAGUUUUAGAAGAAAAACUGUAUUUGGUCUUGUAAGAGAAAAGUAUAUUCAAAUAAAACUCAGUUCUCAAUUA